GUGUUGUAUGGAAGGAGAGAAGGUUAGCACCCACCUUAACAAGGAUGGAAGAGGCCCUUGGGCCUGACAACACACAGAUGGUUAAGGCAUUGAUACCUACUUUGUGGCGUCUAACCACUAUUUUUA
ensembl:snRNA